UUGCGUAGGCGUUGUGCACAGUGUUGGUUUUUGAACGGGACUGUGCAUCUCACCCGCGCAAAG
rnacentral:pre_miRNA from 1 species